rnacentral:rRNA from 1 species
AGCAGUCGCCGCGGGAAUACGUAGGGUGCGAGCGUUAAUCGGAAUUACUGGGCGUAAAGCGUGCGCAGGCGGUUAUAUAAGACAGAUGUGAAAUCCCCGGGCUCAACCUGGGACCUGCAUUUGUGACUGUAUAGCUAGAGUACGGUAGAGGGGGAUGGAAUUCCGCGUGUAGCAGUGAAAUGCGUAGAUAUGCGGAGGAACACCGAUGGCGAAGGCAAUCCCCCGGACCUGUACUGACGCUCAUGCACGAAAGCGUGGGGAGCAAACAGGAUUAGAUACCCCCGUAGUCCCUGUCUCUUAUAC